GAUACCCUGGUAGUCCACGCAGUAAACGAUGAAUGCUAAUUGUCCGUUGCGAGUGAGCGAUGGGUGAUACAGCGAAAGCGUUAAGCAUUCCACCUGGGGAGUACGCCGGCAACGGUGAAACUCAAAGGAAUUGACGGGGGCCCGCACAAGCGGAGGAACAUGUGGUUUAAUUCGAUGAUACGCGAGGAACCUUACCCGGGCUCAAACGCCGUCUGACGUAGGCUGAAAGGCUUAUUUCUUCGGACAGACGGCGAGGUGCUGCAUGGUUGUCGUCAGCUCGUGCCGUGAGGUGUCGGCUUAAGUGCCAUAACGAGCGCAACCCCUGUCGACAGUUGCUAACAGGUUAAGCUGAGGACUCUGUCGAGACUGCCGGCGCAAGCUGUGAGGAAGGCGGGGAUGACGUCAAAUCAGCACGGCCCUUACGUCCGGGGCGACACACGUGUUACAAUGGCAGGUACAGCGGGAAGCCACCCGGCGACGGGGCGCGGAACCCGAAAACCUGUCUCAGUUCGGAUUGGAGUCUGCAACCCGACUCCAUGAAGCUGGAUUCGCUAGUAAUCGCGCAUCAGCCACGGCGCGGUGAAUACGUUCCCGGGCCUUGUACACACCGCCCGUCAAGCCAUGGAAGCCGGGGGUACCUGAAGUACGUGACCGCAAGGAGCGUCCUAAGGUAAAACCGGUGACUGGGACUAAGUCGUAACAAGGUACC
rnacentral:rRNA from 1 species